CACGUAGGGUGCGAGCGUUGUCCGGAAUUAUUGGGCGUAAAGAGCUCGUAGGCGGUGUGUCGCGUCGGCCGUGAAAACUUGCAGCUUAACUGUGGGCGUGCGGUCGAUACGGGCAUCACUGGAGUUCGGCAGGGGAGACUGGAAUUCCUGGUGUAGCGGUGAAAUGCGCAGAUAUCAGGAGGAACACCAAUAGCGAAGGCAGCUCGCUGGGACGUCACUGACGCUGAGGCGCGAAAGCGUGGGGAGCGAACAGG
rnacentral:rRNA from 1 species